rnacentral:lncRNA from 1 species
UCGAAUAGGCAAUCAUUGUGAUGAGUAAGGGCUAAAGGGAGAGAUAUAUGUGAAUAGCGAUGUAAAGGUUAUAGGGAGAAAAUAAGAUAAGAAGGAAGACGAAAGUGGAGUGGAAGGGAGGAAAAGAAAUACAAAAAAAAUUGGUAUAAUAAGGGUAGAAACCAAAAAAUGUGGCUAGCAUACUUCACCGCAGGCUCAUUAAAGAGGAAUAAGUAAGGAAAAUGUAGGACAAGUGUAUACAAAGGAGGAAGGAGUGGAUGAUGAUGACCGAGAAAGGGAAGGAAGAGAAAGGAAUAAUAUAGAAAAAAAAAAAAAAGGUUAGCCACAACUAAAGGAGAGAAGAAUGAUAA